rnacentral:tRNA from 1 species
GGCUCUGUGGUGCAAUGGAUAGCACAUUGGACUUCUAAUUCAAAGGUUGUGGGUUCAAGUCCCACCAGAGUCA